UCUCCCCACGAGUCACAGGCCCCCAAAGCGGAAAUGACUCCUGGCCUCACCUCCAGAUGCAGGCCUGAGCUGAGCAGAGAACUGGCGUCCCGUCUCCAUCUUGGUGCUGGAUUCCCUGGAGCAGGAAGGGCCAAUCAGGAGCAAAAGAAGCUCUCUGGUGCUCGUUUCUCCUUUGGGCUUUUUGCAAGUCCCAUCUCCAGGUCAGCACUGUGAUCUUGGAACUUAACCUCCUAGGGUCUCAGUUUUCCCAGCUGCAAAAUGGGGAUGCAAGAAUCUUCUUCACAGGGUUGUUAAGAAGAUCUAAACAAAUGCAUGGAGAUAUGAUCACUUCUACUUUAAAGUGUGGAAACUGAGGCUCAGAAAAGGUAAGAAUCUCAGUCAAGGUCACUCAGCUGACAAGCGCAGAGCCAAGGCUGAAACCUAGAUCUGUCUGAUUCCAGAGCUCAUGCUUGUAAACCCUGAGUUCCUGUGUUUAGAGGACAGAAGCUAGAGGGUGCAGGCAGCAGAUGGGGCUGAGGGGAGCAGGGGAGGUAAGGUGAGGGUCAUUUGAGGAGUCAGGGUGAGGUCUGAGGGGAGGAUGCUGGGCCUGAAGGAGAGAGGAGGGGAAAGGCCCACGAUGUGAUGGGGAAGCCCCCUCCCCACACUCACCCAGACAGACAGACAGACACACACACACACACACAAGACAGAGUCCGACACACACCCACAGACAUAUACAAGGACCUAUAGGAUGCACACACAUACACACAAACACACCUAGAAGACACACACAGACCCAGAAAUGCACACUCACGUUGGCACACGUCAGAGAUACACACAGACCCAGUGACACUCAGACUCACAUACACAGGCACACAGAGACACAGACACCCACGCGCACACAUGUCCUAGAGGGAAGGGAAGGGAGAGCCAGAGAGCCGCCUCAUUUCCAGGCCUCCUCC